rnacentral:rRNA from 1 species
CGGAGGGUGCAAGCGUUAUCCGGAUUCACUGGGUUUAAAGGGUGCGUAGGUGGGCAGGUAAGUCAGUGGUGAAAUCUCCGGGCUUAACCCGGAAACUGCCGUUGAUACUAUCUGUCUUGAAUAUAGUGGAGGUGAGCGGAAUAUGUCAUGUAGCGGUGAAAUGCUUAGAUAUGACAUAGAACACCCAUUGCGAAGGCAGCUCGCUACACUAUCAUUGACACUGAGGCACGAAAGCGUGGGGAUCAAACAGGAUUAGAUACCCUGGUAGUCCACGCCCUAAACGAUGGAUACUCGACAUCAGCGAUACACAGUUGGUGUCUGAGCGAAAGCAUUAAGUAUCCCACCUGGGAAGUACGACCGCAAGGUUG